AUUGAACGCUGGCGGCAGGCCUAACACAUGCAAGUCGAACGCGUGGCGGACGGGUGAGUAAUGUCUGGGAAACUGCCUGAUGGAGGGGGAUAACUACUGGAAACGGUCGCUAAUACCGCAUACCAUCAGAUGUGCCCAGAUGGGAUUAGCUUGUGGGGGGGGUAACGUCUCACCAAGGCGACGAUCCCUAGCUGGUCUGAGAGGAUGACCAGCCACACGGGAACUGAGACACGGUCAAGACUCCUACGGGAGGCAGCAGUGGGGAAUAUGGCACAAUGGGCGCAAGCCGGAUGCAGCCAUGCGGAGUGUAUGAAGAAGGCCUUCGGGUUGUAAAGGACUUUCAGCGGGGAGGCGUUACCCGCAGAAGAAGCACCGGCUAACUCCGUGCCAGCAGCGGCGGUAAUUC
rnacentral:rRNA from 1 species